UUGAGAUGCCACCAUUUUUGCUGCCCGGACAUGGAACCAGAGGCUGAGAGAGUCAGAGACACUAUCUGCUUCCGUCCGUCGCACAGACCCUGUGGGAGCCUCUGCCACUAUGGGUGAUCAAGAGGAUCUGGUGGCUGGGCGCGGUGGCUCAUGCCUGCAAUCCCACCACUUUGGGAGGCCAAAACAGGCGGAUCACGAGGUCAGGAGACCAUCCUGGCUAACACGGUGAAACCCCGUCUCUACUAAAAAUACAAAAAAUUAGCGGGGAGCGGUGGCGGGUGCCUGUAGUCCCAGCUGCUCGGGAGGCUGAGGCAGGAGAAUGGCGUGUACCUGGGAGGCAGGGCUUGCAGUGAGCCGGCGCCAUGCACUCCAGCCUGGGCGACAGAGCGAGACCAUCUCCAAAAAAAAAAAAAAAAAAAUAGAGGAUCUGCUACCAGGCAAAGCAGGCCAGCAGGCUGAGCAAUACAACGUGCUUUGGAAGUGAACCCGCAGUAUCUUCCAAGAAAUAGUGUAGUCAAUGAAGAAAGUAGCAGGGAUGGAUGUGGAGCUGACAGUUGAAGAAAGAAACCUCCUAUCUGUUUCAUAUAACAAUGUGAUUGAAGCUAGAAGAGCCUUCUGGAGAAUAAUCAGCAUUGAACAGAAAGAAGAAAACAAGGGAGAAGACAAGCUAAAAAUGAUUUGGGAAUAUCAGCAAAUGGUUGAGACUGAGCUAAAUUUAAUCUGUUGUCACUUUCUGUAUGUACUGGACAAAACCUCAUUCCAGCAGCUAACACUGGUGAGUCCAAGGUUUUCUAUUAUAAAAUGAAAGGGGACUACCACAGGUAUCUGGCAGAAUUUGCCACAGGAAAUGACAGGAAGGAGGCUGUGGAGAACAGCCUAGUGGGUUAUAAAGCUGCUAGUGAUAUUGCUAUGACAGAACUUCCACCUGCGCAUCCUAUUCGCUUAAGUCUUGCUCUCAAUUUUUCCUUAUUCUACUACGAAAUUCUUUGUUUUUCUGUUUGUUUGUUUGUGUGUUUUGUUUUGUUUUGAGAGGGAGUCUUGCUCUUUCACCCAGGCUGGAGAGCAGUGGCGCUAUCUCGGCUCACUGCAAGCUCCGCCUCCCAGGUUCACGCCAUUCUCUUGCCUCAGCCUCCCGAGUAGCUGGGACUACUGGCGCCCACCACCGCUCCCGGCUAAUUUUUUGUAUUUUUAGUAGAGACGGGGUUUCACCGUGUUAGCCAGGAUGAUCUCGAUCUCCUGACCUCGUGAUCCACCCGCCUCGGCCUCCCAAAGUGCUCUACUAUGAAAUUCUUAAGUCCCCUGACCAUGCCUGCAGGUUGGCAAAAGCAGCUUUUGAUGAUGCAAUUGCAGAACUGGAUACGCUGAGUGAAGGAAGCUAUAAUGACACUAUGGACUUCAGGCAUGCAGGGUGAUGGUGAAGAACAGAAUAAAGAAGCGCUGCAGGACGUGGAAGAUGAAAAUCAGUGAGACAUAAAAGCCAACAAGAGAAACCAUCCCUGACCCCCCCACUCUUCCCCAUCCCACCCACCCCUUGGAAAGUCCCCAUUGUCACUAAGAACCACCAAAUCUGACUUUUACAUUUGGCCUCAGAAUUUAGGUUCCUGCCCUGUUGUUGUUUUUUGUGGGAUUUGUGUGUGUGUGUGUGUGUGUGUGUGUGUGUGUGUGUGUUUUGUUUGUUUGUUUGUUUUUUAACAGUUUUCAAAAGUUCUUAAAGUCAAGAAGUGAAUUUCUGUGGAUUUUACUGGUCCCAGCUUUUAGGUUCUUUAAGACACUAACAGGACCGCAGAGGCUUUUUCAGCAUUACUGUAUUGUCUCCGUGCCAGAUGUGGCAAGAUUACCAUUAGAAAUGGAAAUUACGUUUGAAAGCCAUUAAGACUUCUAGGUGAUGCAAGCAUCUAAGGGAGAUGUUAAUCACACUAUAGAGGCAUUAAGUGGUAUCAUUUUUCAGUUUUUCUAAUUGUUUGAACCGUAUUUUAUACCAAAUGUUUCAAAGUAAUUGGGUGUUAGCUUGAGAUGGUUAAACGUUGUUUGCGGAGGGAGGAGUUGUAAUGGUUUUGCUGUAAAAAGUGUUUCAAACUCUGCUGAAAUAUUACUAGAAAGCAUGGUGCUGGUAACAGUUCAACAAUCGUGGCUGCUCAUUCUUGCCUACUUUUACUUCACUCCUCCCCUCUACUAGCUCAAUCUCUUUUGUUCAGUAUAUGUAACUGGAAGCUAAUUUGUACUACUGGAUAUCUGACUGGAGCCACAGACACAGAAUCUGUAUCAUUCUUACUGAAACACAGUAUGGAAUUAACAUUAAAUAAAACAAACCUAAAUGUAAAAAACAAACAAAAGAAAUUAAUACAAGAUUAUAAAAAUUUACUUCUAUGUUUCUUGUGAGAAAUUUGUCAUUUUAGCUCUUACAUUUAGCCUUACAGCUUACAUUAAGUACUUCUGUAUGUUUGAUUUGAGAUAGGGGUCUAACUUUUUAUUUUAAAUGUUUAUAGCCAAUGUUCUUAGAAAAAUUCCCAGAAAAGAUGUUUCUUCCACAUUUAAAUUUUUUGGAACUAUUGUGAAUAUUAAUUUGCCAUAAAUCAAUGUGUUUUUUAAUGGAUUUUUUUUGAGAUAGUCAUUUUUUUUUUUGAUACGGUCGCUCUGUUGCCCAGGCUGGAGUGCAAUGGUGCAAUCGCGGUUCACUGCAACCUCUGACUCCCGGGUUCAAGCGAUUCUCCUGCCUCAGCCUUCCGAGUAGCUGGGAUUACAAGCAUAUGCCACCACACCUGGCUAAUUUUUUUGUAUUUGUAGUAGAGAUGGCAUUUCACUAUGUUGGCCAGGCUGGUCUUGAACUCCUGACCCCAGUGAUCCACCUGCCUCGGCCUCCGAGAGUGCUGGGAUUUCAGACAUGAGCCACCGCGCCCAGCUGGAUCUUCAAAUAUAUUCUAUUAAUUAUGUGAAUCUAUCUUUGAUAAUAAGAAUUUAUAUCAAAAAGUAUAAAUUGUUUUUAAAGACUUUUGUGUAUUUGGUAUUCUGUGCACAUUUAUAUUGUUUUUUAAAAUCAUUUUUUAGAGACAGGGUCUCACUCUGCCACUCAGACUGGAGUGAGGUGGAUCAAUCAAAGCUCACUGUUACCUCAAACUCCUGUGCUCAAGCAAUUCCACCACCUCAGCCUCCCAAGUAGGUGGGACUAUACGCAUGCACUACCAUAUCCAGCUAAUUUUAUUUUUUUAUCAUUGUAGACACAGUACCUUCCUAUGUUGCCCAGGCUCUUUUUCAACUACAGGCCUCAAGCAGUCCUCCAACCUCAGCCUCCCAAAGCCGCCAAGCCCAGCUUAUCUAUAUUUGUUUUUUGGAAGAACUUGUCAAUUUCCACUAGAACUAGUUAAAAAUUUGAAGAGAUUUUAUUGAAUCUGUAGAUCUGUGAGAUAUUAUAAUCUUAAAAAUGGUAAUUGAUUAUUUAAUGUAUGUUAAUGUAUUCAGUUCUAUGAUUUUUCUGAAUUAAGAAAUCGAGUGUAAUACAUUUGUACUUCUUUUUAAAACUUUGUUAAUAUUUCUGUUUAUUGCUAUUAUAAAUGAUUUUUUUCUUUAUUUCAUUUUCAUUGAUUUAUUUCAUCUAUAACUGCAACUUAAUUUUGUUUUCUGAUCUUUCAUUUUGUGACAUUAAUUAACUUUAUAGUUUUAGGGAUAUUUUAUUGAACCCCUUAUAUAUUUUUAUAUAGAAAAUUAUAUCAUCUGCAAAAAAAGACAGUUUUGUUAUUUUUCAAUCUGGAGAAUUUUUUUCAUUUUUGUC
rnacentral:lncRNA from 1 species